rnacentral:rRNA from 1 species
GAUGAACGCUGACAGAAUGCUUAACACAUGCAAGUCAACUUGAACUUCGGUUUGGGUGGCGGACGGGUGAGUAACGCGUAAAGAACUUGCCUCACAGAUAGGGACAACAUUUGGAAACGAAUGCUAAUACCUGAUAUUAUGAUUAUAUGGCAUCGUAUAAUUAUGAAAGCUAUAUGCGCUGUGAGAGAGCUUUGCGUCCCAUUAGCUAGUUGGAGAGGUAACGGCUCACCAAGGCGAUGAUGGGUAGCCGGCCUGAGAGGGUGAUCGGCCACAAGGGGACUGAGACACGGCCCUUACUCCUACGGGAGGCAGCAGUGGGGAAUAUUGGACAAUGGACCAAGAGUCUGAUCCAGCAAUUCUGUGUGCACGAUGAAGUUUUUCGGAAUGUAAAGUGCUUUCAGUUGGGAAGAAAAAAAUGACGGUACCAACAGAAGAGGUGACGGCUAAAUACGUG